rnacentral:rRNA from 1 species
GACGAACGCUGGCGGCGUGCUUAACACAUGCAAGUCGAACGGAAAGGCCCUGCUUGCAGGGUACUCGAGUGGCGAACGGGUGAGUAACACGUGGGUGAUCUGCCCUGCACUUCGGGAUAAGCCUGGGAAACUGGGUCUAAUACCGGAUAGGAGCCAUUUUUAGUGUGAUGGUUGGAAAGUUUUUUCGGUGUAGGAUGAGCUCGCGGCCUAUCAGCUUGUUGGUGGGGUAAUGGCCCACCAAGGCGGCGACGGGUAGCCGGCCUGAGAGGGUGGACGGCCACAUUGGGACUGAGAUACGGCCCAGACUCCUACGGGAGGCAGCAGUGGGGAAUAUUGCACAAUGGGCGCAAGCCUGAUGCAGCGACGCCGCGUGGGGGAUGACGGUCUUCGGGUUGUAAACUCCUUUCGCUAGGGACGAAGCUUUUGUGACGGUACCUAGAUAAGAAGCACCGGCUAACUACGUG